GUGAAAAAGAAUGUUAAUGAUGAGUUUGAUGCAUAUAUUGUUGUGUCCUUCAACAAUGCAACUCUUGUGCUUUCAAUUGGAGAAACAGUUGAGGAAGUUAGUGACAGUGGGUUUCUUGAUACUACACCCUCCAUAGCUGUUUCUUUGAUAGGUGAUGAUUCUUUGAUGCAAGUUCACCCAAAUGGCAUCAGGCAUAUAAGGGAAGAUGG
rnacentral:misc_RNA from 1 species